GGCUCAGGACGAACGCUGGCGGCGUGCUUAACACAUGCAAGUCGAACGGGGAUUAGUUGAUUGAGAGCUCGGCAGGAAAUCGAUUAAUUCGAGUGGCGGACGGGUGAGUAACGCGUGAGCAACCUGUCCCAGACAGGGGGAUAACACUUGGAAACAGGUGCUAAUACCGCAUAAGACCACGGGAUCACAUGGUUCCGGGGUAAAAGGAGCAAUCCGGUUUGGGGUGGGCUCGCGUCCGAUUAGCCAGUUGGCGGGGUAACGGCCCACCAAAGCGACGAUCGGUAGCCGACCUGAGAGGGUGAACGGCCACAUUGGAACUGAGAGACGGUCCAAACUCCUACGGGAGGCAGCAGUGGGGAAUAUUGGGCAAUGGGCGAAAGCCUGAACCCCAGCAACGCCGCGUGAGUGAAGAAGGCCUUCGGGUUGUAAAGCUCUGUUAUAGUUGACGAAGGAAGUGACGGUAGGCUAUAAGGAAGCCCCGGCUAACUACGUGCCAGCCGCAGC
rnacentral:rRNA from 1 species